CCAACGGUCCUUUUCAGGACCACCGGAAAUAACACUGUUCGACAAA
rfam:Aedes albopictus isolate Foshan contig84075, whole genome shotgun sequence.